GACGAACGCUGGCGGCGUGCUUAACACAUGCAAGUCGAACGGAAAGGCCCUGCUUUUGUGGGGUGCUCGAGUGGCGAACGGGUGAGUAACACGUGAGUAACCUGCCCUUGACUUUGGGAUAACUUCAGGAAACUGGGGCUAAUACCGGAUAGGAGCUCCUGCUGCAUGGUGGGGGUUGGAAAGUUUCGGCGGUUGGGGAUGGACUCGCGGCUUAUCAGCUUGCUGGUGGGGGAGUGGCUUACCAAGGCUUUGACGGGUAGCCGGCCUGAGAGGGUGACCGGCCACAUUGGGACUGAGAUACGGCCCAGACUCCUACGGGAGGCAGCAGUGGGGAAUAUUGCACAAUGGGCGGAAGCCUGAUGCAGCAACGCCGCGUGCGGGAUGACGGCCUUCGGGUUGUAAACCGCUUUCGCCUGUGACGAAGCGUGAGUGACGGUAAUGGGUAAAGAAGCACCGGCUAACUACGUG
rnacentral:rRNA from 1 species